GACGAACGCUGGCGGCGUGCUUAACACAUGCAAGUCGAACGGAAAGGCCCUGCUUUUGUGGGGUGCCCGAGUGGCGAACGGGUGAGUAACACGUGAGUAACCUGCCCUUGACUUUGGGAUAACUUCAGGAAACUGGGGCUAAUACCGGAUAGGAGCUCCUGCUGCAUGGUGGGGGUUGGAAAGUUUCGGCGGUUGGGGAUGGACUCGCGGCUUAUCAGCUUGUUGGUGGGGUAGUGGCUUACCAAGGCUUUGACGGGUAGCCGGCCUGAGAGGGUGACCGGCCACAUUGGGACUGAGAUACGGCCCAGACUCCUACGGGAGGCAGCAGUGGGGAAUAUUGCACAAUGGGCGGAAGCCUGAUGCAGCAACGCCGCGUGCGGGAUGACGGCCUUCGGGUUGUAAACCGCUUUCGCCUGUGACGAAGCGUGAGUGACGGUAAUGGGUAAAGAAGCACCGGCUAACUACGUGCCAGCAGCCGCGGUGAUACGUAGGGUGCGAGCGUUGUCCGGAUUUAUUGGGCGUAAAGGGCUCGUAGGUGGUUGAUCGCGUCGGAAGUGUAAUCUUGGGGCUUAACCCUGAGCGUGCUUUCGAUACGGGUUGACUUGAGGAAGGUAGGGGAGAAUGGAAUUCCUGGUGGAGCGGUGGAAUGCGCAGAUAUCAGGAGGAACACCAGUGGCGAAGGCGGUUCUCUGGGCCUUUCCUGACGCUGAGGAGCGAAAGCGUGGGGAGCGAACAGGCUUAGAUACCCUGGUAGUCCACGCUGUAAACGGUGGGUACUAGGUGUGGGGUCCAUUCCACGGGUUCCGUGCCGUAGCUAACGCUUUAAGUACCCCGCCUGGGGAGUACGGCCGCAAGGCUAAAACUCAAAGGAAUUGACGGGGCCCCGCACAAGCGGCGGAGCAUGCGGAUUAAUUCGAUGCAACGCGUAGAACCUUACCUGGGUUUGACAUGGAUCGGGAGUGCUCAGAGAUGGGUGUGCCUCUUUUGGGGUCGGUUCACAGGUGGUGCAUGCCUGUCGUCAGCUCGUGUCGUGAGAUGUUGGGUUAAGUCCCGCAACGAGCGCAACCCUUGUUCACUGUUGCCAGCACGUUAUGGUGGGGACUCAGUGGAGACCGCCGGGGUCAACUCGGAGGAAGGUGGGGAUGACGUCAAGUCCUCAUGCCCCUUAUGUCCAGGGCUUCACGCAUGCUACAAUGGCUGGUACAGAGAGUGGCGAGCCUGUGAGGGUGAGCGAAUCUCGGAAAGCCGGUCUCAGUUCGGAUUGGGGUCCGCAACUCGACCUCAUGAAGUCGGAGUCGCUAGUAAUCGCAGAUCAGCAACGCUGCGGUGAUAAAUUCCCGGGGCU
rnacentral:rRNA from 1 species